UAUAUCUUAAUGACUGUUUGUGGGUGUGGAUGGACUGAGUCUGAUUUGUGAUUUUCAGUUUUGCGUACAGAGGUGUGCAUCAAGCUAAGCCAAAAUGCUGUUCUAGCGAUAUGUUUAAUCAGUGAAACCUGCAUUUUGAUUUUGUUUGGGAGGAAUGGUAAAAGUUGCUUCAAGUGUGGUUUAACUAAUUGAAUUAAACUUGACAAUGUUGAAGUGGGACAAUAUGGUAACGCACACAGUGGAGUCAGACCUAAAUUCAGUGUAAGGCACUUUUAUUUUUUGAAAUGAUGUAACAUUUUCUUAAAGUAAAUGUUUGUUUGUAACUGUGGCAAUGUGCUCGUUGCAGGCUUUUCACUGCCACAGCAGCAGCGUGCAAGGACAGGUUUGUGCAUGGGUUUGCUUGAGCACAGCAUGUUCACACUUCACUUUGGGGUUGGCAUUGUUUGUUUUAACAUGAUUUGUCUUUUUUAUGUACUGGCCAGGUCCUUUGUGUAGUUUGUUAAAUUGUGGUUUCCCUUGGUUGACUGUUGCCAUGGAAGGUAGUUUGGUGGUAGCUCUGAUUGUAAUGAUGCAGGUGUGGAAAGUGUUGGUGGAGCUGAGGGUGGGAUAGUUUGGCUCAGUGUUUUUUGCGAAGGAAGGUUGGAGGUUGUCCAGGUUUUUGAGGGAAGAAGUCCAUCGUAUUGAUUAACACAAUUGUGCGAAAAUAGAUUUUUCCUCUUCCCCUUUUCUUUAAGCUGGGUGAGAGGCACCAAGAUGAACUGAACCAGAGUCAAAAGUAGACGCACGGACAAACAGCUUUUUGCCGGUUUCCACCACGGAUGAGUUCGGGUGGCACAAAAAGCCAGACGAAUAACUGGUCGUCGUGCAGGAUGAGACGAGAGGCAUCAAGAGCCACUGGAUGAGGGUAAGAAGUGUGCACACGGGAGACAAAUUGUAUGGCAUGUUUUUUCAGAUUUAGAGAUGAACUGAGGGUAACCGACACACACGCCAGUGGAACAAGUGACUGACUGCCAACGACAGCAGCAAGGAGAACCAGAACGAGAGCUCAGAAGGACCUGGAAAGGGAUGAGUAAAAGGAAGAAUUCCACACACCAAAUGAAGAACAAGAGUUGUCUCAGCAGGAUGAAGACCAAUAACUGAAACACUGUUCCAAGAUGAAUAGCUUCUCCCUUGAG